CAAGAAAGUCAGAGUUGGCUACUACUCGUCAUUCAGCCUUUUUUAAGUCUUUUGUCGGGUUCUGCCUUUUACUCGGCACUCGAGCCUUAUUUUGUGUGAGAAGUCUGAACGGAAAAAUCAGAGUUUGCUACUCGGCAUUUUCACUUUUAAACGCGGUUCUGCCUUUUUACUCGGCGCUUGGUUUCUUUGCUACUCGGCAUUAUAUAUUGUGGGCCAUGAGUAAGUGAAUUGUAGAGCUGCAGCUGCUUGUGCAAAUUGCAAUCACAGUGAAUUUAAUCGAAACCCACUGCUGACUUCAUGGCGGAGAGCGAUCGCGAUCAUUGUAAGUUUGAUAUGUUGGAUAAAAAUGUUGACUUUUUGCACUUCAUUGCAAUAAGAUUGUUACGAAAUAUGCCGUAUUUCUAGACUCCACUGCCUCGGAAGAAGGAAAGUCCAAGGUUACACCCCCCCCAUGCAACCAUUGAAGAAGUUGUGGUGAUGAGCUCCCAUGAAAGACUCCAUGAACUUUUAGACCGAACGCCUGCAUCAAAUACACUGGCCAGCUCCUCCAUUUCUACUCCUACUUCAGAAAUGGACAUUACUAUGAUUUUGGUAGGUUCUAAUUGCUUUCCCACCGACAUCGGACUAAUGAUUUUGGCAAUAUUGGAGCAGCUAGAGCAAUCUGAUCCUACUCAGAAGCCUAUGAUAUGGCCAAAAACUUGAGCGAACAAGUCAAAGCUACGAAACAGCUUCUUCAACCUAAGGUUCAGUUUUGUGACAGCAAGGAGAGAGAAUUUCAAGACCUUGCAAAAAGGAAAUUCUGGAUUGAAGCCAGGCAGGCUGCAAUAGUUGCGGAAAUUCACGGCGCCAUCAAAGAGACUGAACCGAUCCAGGCACAACUCGAGAAAUUGCUCCUGCAGCAAGAUCAAUUUAAAGAAAAUGAGGGUAAUCUCAAGACCAUCUUGGAUAUUGGAGAUGGCCUCUGGACAACCUUGAAAAACAUAAUUCACCCCCACCUCCCUACGUGACUUCCUUUCUUGUGUUGCAUUUGGGCUGCAGUUCUUUUUCCAUUUCCUUUUGGUGUUGUUUCGGGCGGUGUGCCCCGUAGAUUGAAAAAUCAUGUUUAAGCCGUAUUUUGGUCUUUUGAACUUUAAUUGAAGUACUUUUAUAUUA